rfam:Branchiostoma floridae genomic scaffold BRAFLscaffold_192, whole genome shotgun sequence.
GUUGCACACUUUUGCUAGAACUCAGUUUCCUGCUCAUGGAUAUUGGGUGUAUAUGUUGUGCAACAGAAAAGUCGGCAGGAAUUUCGCUAACACCACAAGGGUUCACAGCCCUAUGAGUGGAGUUUGAUAGUACUCUUUGCCACAUUG